UGGGGAAUCUUCCGCAAUGGACGAAAGUCUGACGGAGCAACGCCGCGUGAGUGAAGACGGCCUUCGGGUUGUAAAGCUCUGUGAUCCGGGACGAAAGAGCCUGAGGUAAAUAGCCUAAGGAAGUGACGGUACCGGAAAAGCAAGCCACGGCUAACUACGUGCCAGCAGCCGCGGUAAUACGUAGGUGGCAAGCGUUGUCCGGAAUUAUUGGGCGUAAAGCGCGCGCAGGCGGCUUACUAAGUCCAUCUUAAAAGUGCGGGGCUUAACCCCGUGAUGGGAUGGAAACUGGAAAGCUGGAGUAUCGGAGAGGGAAGUGGAAUUCCUAGUGUAGCGGUGAAAUGCGUAGAGAUUAGGAAGAACACCGGUGGCGAAGGCGACUUUCUGGACGAAAACUGACGCUGAGGCGCGAAAGCGUGGGGAGCAAACAGG
rnacentral:rRNA from 1 species